AACUGAAGAGAAUAAAAUGAAAAAUAAAAUAAAAUGAAGAGGCAAUUGCUUAUAUACUCCUGAAAAUUUUCGACUUUUUGAUUUACCUUUUUUACAAGACUAAUGUUGAAAAUACUCUUUUUACGUUCCAAUCUAUUUCUAAUAUACUCCUAGAAUUAAAAUCUAUUACUUAACUCUGUUAUCUCUGUAAAAUUAUUAUUUUGCCCUUUCAAAUAUACUAUUCCACCAUCACUGACUUUCUAAUUUGCCAUUAAAGUCAGGGGCACAAAAGGUACCGUCACCGACAUUUCUUAUUUGCCCUUUAAGUUAAGGGCAAAAUUAGCAUUUUAAUUUUUUUCCACUGUAGUAGAUAUUUAACUCACAUUUAACCUAAGUUAACUUAACAGGAUAUAUCUGCAAUAUAUUUUGCAAUAACGGUGGAAUAUAUGAGGGAUAUUUUAGAAAGAAAAAAAAAAAGAUAAAUCGGAUAUUUUCAAACGUAUGAGGGGUAUAUAGGCAAUUAUCCCUAAAAUUAAAAAUAGGGAUUAGGAAUGGAUUGAGAAAUAUAAUUCAACUCAGUAUUUGGUGCUUAUGUAAUAACACUUUGAAUUGAAUUAUCUAUACUCGUACUAUGCUAUAUCAAUAUUUUUUCAAAAGAAUUGUCUCUUUUUUAUCUUCAUCACCUAACAAUAUGUGCUAUCGGAUCUAAUUCGUUUAACAAUACGUGCUAUCUGAUCUAAUUCGUUUUUUGAUUAAUAUCUCGCAGACGUUUCACUGUUUUCAAAAUUCACCCUUUUACAUAUGUCUGUAUAAUUCAACAGACUUUUCAAUCUCCCGUCAUCCCUCUCUACUCUUUUCACGUAUUACUUUUGCCUCUCUAGUCUACCGCACCUCGCCAGCACCUCAUCGAUAGUCUAUGCGUAAGCUGUCAUCCUCAUCGACGUAUUGUCAGCAGCCCAUAUUUCAUUGCCGGCACAUUGUGAACACUCUACGUGUAGGUGCAUCAUCUAGAUAUUCUCUGUCCUUACCGUCGCUGUCACUCGCAUGUCGACGGCCAUCCACACAUCACCGGCAUAUCGUUGACGCUCCGCGCGU
rnacentral:lncRNA from 1 species